GUUAUUUUGGCAGAAUAGUGUAAUUGAUUUAGAAUCUUUAAAUGUAAUCUUGAUUACAAAUAACA
rnacentral:tRNA from 1 species